AUUGAACGCUGGCGGCAUGCUUUACACAUGCAAGUCGAACGGCAGCGCGGGCUUCGGCCUGGCGGCGAGUGGCGAACGGGUGAGUAAUGCAUCGGAACGUGCCCAGUAGUGGGGGAUAGCCCGGCGAAAGCCGGAUUAAUACCGCAUACGACCUGAGGGUGAAAGCGGGGGACCGAAGGGCCUCGCGCUAUUGGAGCGGCCGAUGUCGGAUGAGCUAGUUGGUGGGGUAAAGGCUUACCAAGGCGACGAUCCGUAGCUGGUCUGAGAGGACGACCAGCCACACUGGGACUGAGGCACGGCCCAGACUCCGACGGGAGGCAGCAGUGGGGAAUUUUGGACAAUGGGGGCAACCCUGAUCCAGCAAUGCCGCGGGCGGGAAGAAGGCCUUCGGGUUGGAAACCGCUUUUGUUCGGGAAGAAAUCCUCUGGGCUAAUACCCCGGGGGGAUGACGGUACCGGAAGAAUAAGCACCGGCUAACUACGUG
rnacentral:rRNA from 1 species